rnacentral:rRNA from 1 species
UAGGGAAUCUUCCACAAUGGACGCAAGUCUGAUGGAGCAACGCCGCGUGAGUGAAGAAGGUUUUCGGAUCGUAAAGCUCUGGUGUUGGUGAAGAAGGAUAGAGGCAGUAACUGGUCUUUAUUUGACGGUAAUCAACCAGAAAGUCACGGCUAACUACGUGCCAGCAGCCGCGGUAAUACGUAGGUGGCAAGCGUUGUCCGGAUUUAUUGGGCGUAAAGCGAGCGCAGGCGGAAUGAUAAGUCUGAUGUGAAAGCCCACGGCUCAACCGUGGAACUGCAUCGGAAACUGUCAUUCUUGAGUGCAGAAGGGGAGAGUGGAAUUCCAUGUGUAGCGGUGGAAUGCGUAGAUAUAUGGAAGAACACCAGUGGCGAAGGCGGCUCUCUGCUCUGCAACUGACGCUGAGGCUCGAAAGCAUGGGUAGCGAACAGG